UACGUAGGUCCCGAGCGUUGUCCGGAUUUAUUGGGCGUAAAGCGAGCGCAGGUGGUUUAUUAAGUCUGGUGUAAAAGGCAGUGGCUCAACCAUUGUGUGCUUUGGAAACUGUACAUCUUGAGUGCAGAAGGGGAGAGUGGAAUUCCAUGUGUAGCGGUGAAAUGCGUAGAUAUAUGGAGGAACACCGGUGGCGAAAGCGGCUCUCUAGCCUGUAACUGACGCUGAGGCUCGAAAGCGUGGGGAGCGAACAGG
rnacentral:rRNA from 1 species